UAUCCUCAUUAUUUUGUAGCCAUUUUUGUUUGUUGAUCGACACUUUGCUGUUGGUUAUGCACACGAAUUAGGCCCACAGUGGCACUUGGUAGAUGUAAAUGGUAUGACCACAACAGUUACCUAUAACAUGGAUUCAGAUAACCCAAGGAUCACUGAAGUGUUUAAAGGUGGAUGUACACGAACAAGUUGGACAACAUUUAUGAACCGUAUUACUCAUCAAAAUACAAGAUCUAUAUUUUCAGUGAAAUUGUCAAAGUAUCAAAGCAAAGCAAGUCACUUGGAUUUGCCAUCAAAGUUUGCCAACUUUAUUCGGGAGGUCAAGGUAGAAGACGUCUUUCUUAUAGGGCCUAAAACUAUAGUGAAUUGCAA